UACGAACCGUCCCAACGUUAUUCGGAAUUACUGGGCUUAAAGGGUUCGUAGGCGGCCUUGUAAGUGGGGUGUGAAAGCCCUCGGCUCAACCGAGGAAUAGCGCUCCAAACUGCAAGGCUUGAGGGAGACAGGGGUAAGCGGAACUGAUGGUGGAGCGGUGAAAUGCGUUGAUAUCAUCAGGAACACCGGUGGCGAAAGCGGCUUACUGGGUCUCUUCUGACGCUGAGGAACGAAAGCUAGGGUAGCGAACGGG
rnacentral:rRNA from 1 species